rnacentral:rRNA from 1 species
CAGUCGAACGAGCGAGAGAGAGCUUGCUUUCUCAAGCGAGUGGCGAACGCGGUGAGUAACGCGUGAGGAACCUGCCUCAAAGAGGGGGACAACAGUUGGAAACGACUGCUAAUACCGCAUAAGCCCACGACCCGGCAUCGGGUAGAGGGAAAAGGAGCAAUCCGCUUUGAGAUGGCCUCGCGUCCGAUUAGCUAGUUGGUGAGGUAAUGGCCCACCAAGGCGACGAUCGGUAGCCGGACUGAGAGGUUGAACGGCCACAUUGGGACUGAGACACGGCCCAGACUCCUACGGGAGGCAGCAGUGGGGAAUAUUGCACAAUGGGGGAAACCCUGAUGCAGCGACGCCGCGUGGAGGAAGAAGGUCUUCGGAUUGUAAACUCCUGUUGUUGAGGAAGAUAAUGACGGUACUCAACAAGGAAGUGACGGCUAACUACGUGCCAGCAGCCGCGGUAAAACGUAGGUCACAAGCGUUGUCCGGAAUUACUGGGUGUAAAGGGAGCGCAGGCGGGAAGACAAGUUGGAAGUGAAAUCCAUGGGCUCAACCCAUGAACUGCUUUCAAAACUGUUUUUCUUGAGUAGUGCAGAGGUAGGCGGAAUUCCCGGUGUAGCGGUGGAAUGCGUAGAUAUCGGGAGGAACACCAGUGGCGAAGGCGGCCUACUGGGCACCAACUGACGCUGAGGCUCGAAAGUGUGGGUAGCAAACAGGAUUAGAUACCCUGGUAGUCCACACUGUAAACGAUGAUUACUAGGUGUUGGAGGAUUGACCCCUUCAGUGCCGCAGUUAACACAAUAAGUAAUCCACCUGGGGAGUACGACCGCAAGGUUGAAACUCAAAGGAAUUGACGGGGGCCCGCACAAGCAGUGGAGUAUGUGG